rnacentral:rRNA from 1 species
CCCCUAGUAACGGCGAGUGAAGCGGGAAGAGCCCAGCGUCGAACUGCUUGCGCAAGCUGGUGGAAUGUGACGUUUGGGAGGUCCGUGUUCCCUAUCACGGCGGAGAAGCUCCAAAUCCUUUUGAUUGAGGCCUUUCCCAGCGAGGGUGUCAGGCCCGUAUCGGGUUUCUCCUAGUGUAGGUUACGGGCUCUCCUUAGAGUCGGGUUGUUUGGGAAUGCAGCCCAAAGUGGGUGGUAAACUCCAUCUAAGGCUAAAUAUUCGGACGAGACCGAUAGCGAACAAGUACCGUGAGGGAAAGUUGAAAAGCACUUUGAAGAGAGAGUUCAAUAGUACGUGAAACCGUUGAGAGGUAAACGGUGAAGGCAUCAAAAUUGCCCAAUGUUAUUCAAUUUCGUCGUUGGUUUCGCCGGUCUGUCGCUAUUAGCGGUUGGCUGAUCGAGGCUAGCGAUGGGGUGCACUUGACGUUGGGGUCAGUCACGACCGAUUGCCCGGGGGUGUUAUACUAGUUUCUGGUGGGGUGCUUCCUUCGGGUAGUGCUUUCAAGAUUCUGGCUGCGGCCUUCUGGGCGAUUGUAGUAGUGUGGAAUGCUUGCCCUUGUGGCGGCUGUCCGGGUGUCGGCGUUUGGGGAUACUAGUCAGACUGCAUGCAGUGUUUCCGGUGUCAUCCUACGUAGGCGUUUGGUUUGGCCUUGGCGUUCCCCGUCCGUGGCGGUAUGGAUGUCCUUUACCGACCCGUCUUGAAACACGGACCAAGGAGUCUAACAUGUGUGCGAGUCUCAAGGGAAGUAAACCCACGGGCGCAAUGAAAGUGAUUAGGUGGGAAGCCAUUUAUGGUCGCACCGCCGUCCCGUCCAUGUGUCACGUAUGCAGGGCGGAGAAGGAGCAUACACGUUGGGACCCGAAAGAUGGUGAACUAUGCCUGAGCAGGAUGAAGCCAGGGGAAACCCUGGUGGAGGUCCGUAGCGAUUCUGACGUGCAAAUCGAUCGUCUGAUUUGGGUAUAGGGGCGA